rfam:Schistosoma rodhaini strain Burundi genome assembly, scaffold: SROB_scaffold0001072
GCACUGCUGAAGAGUCCGAUAAUAGGACGAAACGGUUGUCCAAUGC